AGGUUUUAGAGGUCCGUCCUGUAAUAGACUGGGACAAAGGAAAAGCAGUUGAGUUUUUGCUUGAAUCACUGGGUUUUCGAAAUAUCCAUGAUGUGCUCCCUAAUUAUAUUGGAGAUGACAGAACAGAUGAAGAUGCAUUCAAGGUCUUGAGGGAGAGAUAUCAAGGUUACGGAAUUCUUGUUUCGACUAGCCCAAAAGAGAGUAAUGCUAUCUUCUCUCUCAGGGAUACUUCAGAGGCUAAAGAAUUCUUGGAAUUUCUUGCACAAACGACGGAAAACCAAGAAAUAUAAAAUGAGAAGGAGGGGCAGGGGAGCAGGAGGGAUAGUAUAGAUAAGAAACAUUACAUUAUGUUUCUACAAUUUUAUAAAUAAGUUGAAGCAAUCUCUUUAUCAUUC